rnacentral:lncRNA from 1 species
UUUAAUUCUAAUUAAGUUGCUUACAAUUCACUUAAUAAAUAGAAAAUGUCGAAGAGUCUUAGUUUUAUCAUCUUGGCUUUGCUUGUAGUGGCAAACACUAAAAGCACACUUAUUACAGCCAGUCGUUUUAGCCAAGGAUAUCACGCAGAUGCUUUAUUUUCUAAUAAUCCUGGAGCAUCACCUGAAAUUGUUGAUUGCUCAGGGCUUACAAGGGAAGAGUGUUUGAUCGAGAAGUUAAAGAACGCUCUCGCAGACUAUAAAUACUACUGUCCCCCGGGGGGAUGCAAAUGAUUUUGAUAAUCAGUUAUUUCUUUUGUCUUUUAUGAGUGCUUUUGCAAUAAUGAUCAAUUGUAGUGAAAUUGAAACUGUGUUUUAAUAAAAGAAGAAAUUAAUUCAUUAUGAGUACGUAACGUUGGUCAUGUGUUUUCGGUGUGUGAAUUGGCUUUGUUUUUUGUAUACAUGUCGUUGAAUUAGUCUACCAGAGGGCAAUAUAUUGAAAUCAUUAUUUCUGUGUUAGUACCAUUUGUAAUAUUUGAAUUUUAAGUCCAUUUUCUUUUAGGGUGAGGAUAACUGCAUCCUAAACAAAAAAAGAAAAAAGAAAAAAGACUUUGAACCUUUAUAUUUUAUCGGAAUCUUAUAUUACAAAACAGUCUGAAUUAAUUUGAAGGGUGAACUUCAAUUUACGCCCCGUGAAUCUUCAAUUUACCCCAAAAAAAUGUGAAAAUAUCAACUUACCCUCAUUUACUACAAAGGAAAUAAAUAGAAAAUUUAUCAACGUGCCCGCUAUUUAAUCUCAUCUUAAAAAAAAUUAAAGUAAAUUGAGGUUUUCAUUCUUUUGGAGGUAAAUUGAAGAUUUUUAUUGGGAGGGAGAUGAAUUGAAGUUUACUCCAACUAAUAAAAUUUUUCUUAUUAUUUUAUAUACGUAUUUGCCCCAUAUACUGAACAAACAAAAAUCUUUUUUUACUUAGAUGAAUAUUGUGGGGAUGCUGCAAAGGUCCAUUUGCAAAUCGCAUUCAAACAAGAAAAAAAAAUUAAAUAAGGGAAUGGACAAUUUGUUGGCUAAUUACAAUUAUUAGGCAGCACAAGACAAGUCACACUGUCACAGUAAUCAAAAUUUUUAUUUUGUCACUUGAAAAUAAAAAUAUAGGUUUCUUACUUCCUUCUGUUUUAUUUUGUUUUAUUUCAUUUUAAAAAAAAUUUGAAAAUCACAAAAUAGUUUAAAUCAAUUUUUCUAAGUACAAAUAUAUACUCUUUUGUUCAUUUGAGAUGGCUAGCUUGACUUUAAUUUAAUAUAUGUUUUGGUAACUGAAAUUUAGAUAUUGCUUUAUUUUUUUAGUUGGCUAAAUAAUGUAAUAUUCUUACUUAAUUGAUGACUUAAAAAUGAUAAUGUAUUAAUUUGUUAAUUUCUAUGCAGUUAGCCAGAAAGAUAAUAAAAGUUUUUGAUAAGAAAACAAUGGAAGCAGGGAUAGCAAUUAAUUUAUAAUCAUUUGAUGAUGUAAAAUAAAGACUGCAUGAUGUUGGCUCCUGCAAAGUUCCCGGAUGUAGUUACCGCUAAGAAUAACGUGUAGAAUUAUACAAGAAAUUUUAAUAAAUGUCGUCAGUUUUCAGGUUUUCUUGGUUUGUCUUUCUUCUGUAAUGCUCUUAAGAUGUUAUGAAUUAAACAAAUACAAGUUCUUAAUCACACACUUUUAUCAUAAAGGAAGCAUCAUAAAAUGAAGAAAAAAAUUCUCACAGUCGGCGACCAAGAAGACAUGAGACAAUGAACAAGGAGGGGAUUAAGCACUAUUGUGUAGACUGAACAGAGAACCAAUAGCAAAUAGAUAAGGCGUCCAAUGUAGCCAGCAGCUAAUGGUCCUAUAAUUUGAUCGUAGUACUGGGGGACUUGGAGGCAAACUAUUGGUUAGCUUACUGAUGAAUUUCCUUUUUGCCCACUUGAGCAAUUGUCAAGACAGUAAAUAUUCUCGAUGUGAGCAACACAGUGAAAACCGAGCGGCCCAGAGCAUUGAACAAAAUCAGUAAGGCUUAUACAAUCUCAAUUUUGAUUUACUGGUAACGUUACUAGCUUCGUGCUACGCAGAAUAGAUUCUAGAUUACGUGGGGCAUUGGGAAAGUUUUUUUUACGAGGCCUUUGAGUAUCAACACUUAAAGAAACGUAAAAUAUCUUAAAAUGCAAUCAAUUUUUCACAUCUUUAGUACUAAUAAUCAACAACAUAAGUAAGAAAUUUCAAAAAGAAAAUUUGUCAAUAAAAGAUAUAUUUUUUACUUCUUUCCAAAUUAUUAUUUCAAGAAAAUAUUUUAUUUUACUUCAAAAGUGGGCCAAUAAACAUAAUAGUGUUCCUUAUAUGGAAAGGCGCUAGGAAUUUUAUAUGUUAAAUAAUCAAUUUUUUCAAACUCGAAAAACUUUAAUGGCUUUUCUUGGAAUAAUUAAUAGCGAAAAAUAUUAUUAACCAUAGCUCAUUAGCAAUAAUGCUAUCGAAUAUAGAAUUUGUGUAAAAAUUCUUAAUAAGAAAAUAAUUAUUAAUUAAAAAGAGGCCUAAAAAAUAAGAUUUCCUCUAGUAAGUAUAACGUAAAAUAUCAAUUAAUUUGGCCAUAUAAAGAAAAUACUGAAAGAAAAAAAUCUUCUUAACAUAUAGAGCCUAGAUAACUACAAUUGGGCCAUUCUAACAUAUGUUUAAAGCCCUAGGCAAUAGCCUGAAUCACCUAUGUUUAAAGCCACCUAUGUAUGCUAGGCAAGAGGCUCUUACCACAUACAAAGGAUUAACUAAACCCUAAUACCACAUACAAAGGAUUAACUAAACCUAAUUCAUACUAUCUGAAAGGAAUAAACAUAACCAUAAAGCCAUAGAUGCUUACAACUGCAUUUGCUUUUAAAACAUACAAAUUAAAAAAACUGAUGAUAAUUUAUAAAGCUUGCAUGACAUUGAUUUUAAUUAUAUAACUCACUUAAAUGCUGAUAUGGCACUGUACUUAGCUUCAAAUGAUGACACUGCCAAGAAGGUAGCUCCUCAUAACCUGUAGCCAUGACAAUCGUAGCAGAACAGGUGUUGCCACAAAGGCCAUUAGCCUCAGUAGAAAAGUGUAUAGCCUCGUGAUGAACAUUUGAUGGUGCAAUUACUUAUAGUUACAAACUUGUUGAGUUGGCAAAUGAGGGUUAUAUAAACUAAAGAAAAAUGUUUAUAAGUUAAUUUGAACCAAAACAUUUACUUAAUGGAAAACACAUGAGUAUAUAGAGUUAAAAAGGUAGAUGAACACGUAUGUUGCGAUACUUUAUUAGUUGAGAUGCUCAACUAUCCCCACCACCAUUCACUACAAGUUUUCAAUUUUUUUUUUUACUAAAUGUAUAGACUUUCAAAUCCCCAAUAUGAGCAAGCCCUUUCUUUUUUUUGGUCGGCUCUAUCAACCAUUUGAUACAGGAGGUAAAAAAGUUUAAUAAAUCUAAUGGAAAGAUAAAAUCAAAUCCUAUAAACGGUAAGGAACAUUGACGAUUUAUUCAGAGUUGUUGAAUGAAUCUUACUAAUUGAUCAUGAGGGUUGAUAUAUCAUUAUCUCAAUCUCCUCAUUUAUACCAGCCAACUUAACCAAGUGUACGUAAUUGAUUUUUGUUUUCUACAAUAAUUUUCUUACAAUUUAAUGAGAAAGUCUUAUGCACGAACCACCUGAUGAAACCAAAUAAAGGGCAAUGUAGACUUGUAGAGGGUCUUUAGCUUAAAAAAUAGCUUGCCGGUUGAUAUAAAGAGUAAAAAUCUAAUAAAAAACUAAACAAAAUAAUAACACUAAAAAUGAUAGCAUUAAUUGAAUGUAUACUGAAAUUGCUUUCAUAAUACAACACGAUAUUAAAAUAAACAGUUAAUGCAAACAAACGCAGCAUGUUUUAUUUUCCUUAUUUAUGGAAUCUUUCAAUUCCAUUAAAGUCACUGUGGCAAGUUUCUCAAUAUUCAUUCAUAUAAAUACGCUCAUGACUUUCUGAGGUUUACACAUCUCCUUUAUUUCUAAUUAAGUUGCUUACAAUUCACUUAAUAAAUAUAAAAUGUCGAAGAGUCUUGGUUUCAUCAUCUUGGCUUUGCUUGUAGUGGCAAACACUAAAAGCAUACUUAUUACAGCCAGUAGUUUUAGCCAAGGAUAUCACGCAGAUGCUUCAUUUUCUAAUAAUCCUACAGCAUCACCUGAAAUUGUUGAUUGCUCUGGGCUUACAAGGGAAGAGUGUUUGACCGAGAAGUUAAAGAACGCUCUCGCAGACUAUAAAUACUACUGUCCCCCGGGGGGAUGCAAAUGAUUUUGAUAAUUAGCUAUUUCUUUUGUCUUUUAUGAGUGAUGUUGCAAUAAUGAUUAAUUGUAGUGAAAUUGAAACCGUGUUUUAAUAAAUGAAGAAAUUAAUUCAUUAUGAG